rnacentral:tRNA from 1 species
UCCGGGGGAUUCAGUGCUGGUACUGAUGUCACCCUUUGAAGGUGAAUGGCGCUGGUUCGAUUCCAGCCCCCGGAACC